rnacentral:tRNA from 1 species
GAGGGCAUAGUUCAGCGGUAGAGCACAUGCCUAGCAUGUAUGAGGUGGUAGGUUCAAUCCCCAGUGCCUCG